UCCGAAUUGGUGUAGUGGCUAACAUUUGACGCUCUCAAUCGAUCUUCGGAUCAGCUUGGAAAAGUGCCGUCAAGCCCGGGGUUCGAUUCCCCGAUUCGGAG